rnacentral:piRNA from 1 species
UCCUGAAAUUACCUUCAAAAGGAGGCUCGUGC